UACGGAGGGGGCGAGCGUUGUCCGAAGUUACUGGGCGUAAAGCGCGUGUAGGCGGGUUGCCAAGUCCGCUGUGAAAGCCCGAGGCUCAACCUCGGAGGGUCGGUGGAUACUGGCAGUCUUGAAGGUGCUAGGGGGAGAUGGAAUUACCGGUGUAGCGGUGAAAUGCGCAGAUAUCAGGAAGAACACCCGUGGCUAAGGCGGCUCUCUAGUACGGUACUGACGCUGAGACGCGAAAGCGUGGGGAGCGAACAGG
rnacentral:rRNA from 1 species